rnacentral:rRNA from 1 species
AGUUUGAUCAUGGCUCAGAACGAACGCUGGCGGCAUGCCUAACACAUGCAAGUCGAACGAGACCUUCGGGUCUAGUGGCGCACGGGUGCGUAACGCGUGGGAACCUGCCCUUAGGUUCGGAAUAACAGUUAGAAAUGACUGCUAAUACCGGAUAAUGUCUUCGGACCAAAGAUUUAUCGCCUUUGGAUGGGCCCGCGUUGGAUUAGAUAGUUGGUGGGGUAAUGGCCUACCAAGUCGACGAUCCAUAGCUGGUCUGAGAGGAUGAUCAGCCACACUGGGACUGAGACACGGCCCAGACUCCUACGGGAGGCAGCAGUGGGGAAUAUUGGACAAUGGGCGAAAGCCUGAUCCAGCAAUGCCGCGUGAGUGAUGAAGGCCUUAGGGUUGUAAAGCUCUUUUACCAGGGAUGAUAAUGACAGUACCUGGAGAAUAAGCUCCGGCUAACUCCGUGCC